rnacentral:rRNA from 1 species
UUUCGAAUCAUUCACAAUGGGCGAAAGCCUGAUGGUGCGAUGCCGCGUGGGGGACGAAGGUCUUCGGAUUGUAAACCCCUGUCACCGGGGAAAAAACGCCGUUUGUUAAUAGCGAACGGCCUGAUUUAACCCGGAGAGGAAGCAGUGGCUAACUCUGUGCCAGCAGCCGCGGUAAUACAGAGACUGCAAGCGUUGUUCGGAUUCACUGGGCGUAAAGGGUGCGCAGGCGGCCGGAUGUGUCGGGUGUGAAAGCUCGAGGCUCAACCUCGAAACUGCGCCCGAAACUAUUCGGCUAGAGUACUGGAGAGGGAAGCGGAAUUCACGGUGUAGCAGUGAAAUGCGUAGAUAUCGUGAGGAACACCAAUGGCGAAGGCAGCUUCCUGGACAGUUACUGACGCUCAGGCACGAAAGCGUGGGGAGCAAAAGG